AGAGACAGCAGUAGCCACGGUAAUACGAAGGGGGCUAGCGUUGCUCGGAAUUACUGGGCGUAAAGGGCGCGUAGGCGGACAGUUAAGUUGGGGGUGAAAGCCCGGGGCUCAACCUCGGAAUUGCCUUCAAUACUGGCUGUCUUGAGUACGGGAGAGGUGAGUGGAACUCCGAGUGUAGAGGUGAAAUUCGUAGAUAUUCGGAAGAACACCAGUGGCGAAGGCGACUCACUGGCCCGUUACUGACGCUGAGGCGCGAAAGCGUGGGGAGCAAACAGGAUUAGAUACCCGAGUAGUCCCUGUCUCUUAUAC
rnacentral:rRNA from 1 species